rnacentral:tRNA from 1 species
GUCAGAGUGGUAGAAAAUAAAUAUAUUAGGUUUAGGACCUGAAGAUAAGAUUAUAUCUUCUUUGGCG